CGCCUCUUGAAACUACAUAAGAGGUCCAGCCUGCCCAGUGACUAAGUUCAACGGCCGCGGUAUCCUAACCGUGCGAAGGUAGCGUAAUCACUUGUUCUUUAAAUGAGGACUAGUAUGAAUGGCACCACGAGGGUUAUGCUGUCUCCUUUUUCUAAUCAAUGAAACUGAUCUCCCCGUGAAGAAGCGGGGGUAUACCUAUAAGACGAGAAGACCCUAUGGAGCUUUAAACCAUGUAACACUGGCUUUAACAUUAAAAUAUUCCAGAAUUUUCAUAAUUACUCUAGCCACUAUGAUUACUAGUUUUAGGUUGGGGUGACCGCGGAGCAAAAAUUAACCUCCACAUUGAACGGAGCUACUCCUGAGCCAAAAGCCACGACUUUAAGCACUAAUAAAUUAACAUCAAUUGACCCAAUAUUUUUGAUCAACGAACCAAGUUACCCUAGGGAUAACAGCGCA
rnacentral:rRNA from 1 species